rnacentral:rRNA from 1 species
AUGGGAACGCGAAGAACCUUACCUACUCUUGACAUCCAGAGAACUUAGCAGAGAUGCUUUGGUGCCUUCGGGAACUCUGAGACAGGUGCUGCAUGGCUGUCGUCAGCUCGUGUUGUGAAAUGUUGGGUUAAGUCCCGCAACGAGCGCAACCCUUAUCCUUUGUUGCCAGCGGGUAAUGCCGGGAACUCAAGGGAGACUGCCGGUGAUAAACCGGAGGAAGGUGGGGAUGACGUCAAGUCAUCAUGGCCCUUACGGCCAGGGCUACACACGUGCUACAAUGGCGUAUACAGAGGGAAGCGACCUCGCGAGAGCAAGCGGAACCCACAAAGUACGUCGUAGUCCGGAUUGGAGUCUGCAACUCGACUCCAUGAAGUCGGAAUCGCUAGUAAUCGUAGAUCAGAAUGCUACGGUGAAUACGUUCCCGGGUCUUGUACACACCG